GCCCCUAUAGCUCAGCUGGCAGAGCAGUGCUCUUGUAAAGCGAAGGUCGCGCGUUCAAAUCGUGCUGGGGGCA
rnacentral:tRNA from 1 species